rnacentral:lncRNA from 1 species
CUCCUUUCCCUUUCGGAUUCCCGACGCUGUGGUUGCUGUAAGGGGUCCUCCCUGCGCCACACGGCCGUCGCCAUGGUGAAGCUGAGCAAAGAGGCCAAGCAGAGACUACAGCAGCUCUUCAAGGGGAGCCAGUUUGCCAUUCGCUGGGGCUUUAUCCCUCUUGUGAUUUACCUGGGAUUUAAGAGGGGUGCAGAUCCCGGAAUGCCUGAACCAACUGUUUUGAGCCUACUUUGGGGAUAAAGGAUUAUUUGGUCUUCUGGAUUUGGAGGCAAUCAGCGGACAGCAUGGAAGAUGUGUGCUCUGGCUCGGAUAAGAGAUGGGACAUCAUUCAGUCACUAGUUGGAUGGCACAAGGCUCUUCACAGACGCAUCUGUAGCAGAGUGGAACUUGUACUAACUUAUGAUAGAAUGUAUCAGAAUAAAUGUUUUUAACAGUGUUAUGCUUGAGUCUUUUUUGAAUUGAACAUGCUAGGAUUAUCAGGUAAAAAUUAAGCCUUUUGGUACUUUCUCAAAACAGGGAAUUUAUGUGUGUACCUAGGUGCUAUUUAAGCCUGUAAAUCCCAGCACUUUGGGAGGCCAGGGCGGGUGGAUCACGAUAUAAAAAAAUUUUUCCAAGUUAUUCCUGCCCAUUGACCUAACAUAUGGAUUACAGUUUCCCUUUGCAGUGAAUUAAUAACUCCUUCUAGGAUAUUCCGAGGUAGUAAGAAUACAGAUAGUUCUGUUUGUGACAAACCAAGCUGUUACUUCCUCCUCUGCAUUAAAGUUCUGACUGCAAGAAA